rnacentral:lncRNA from 1 species
CGGCCGCGCUGGCCCCCUGUCCGCAUGCUGUCAGGCUACCUCCGUGCCAGACGACCAACACCCAGCCACAGUGGAAAUGACUGUUCCUUCAACUUUCUUCAGCCCCUGCCUGCUGGGGUCUCCGGAGGGAAGCGUUCACUCUAGCCCAAAUGAAACAGAGCUCCAGAAAAACCACAGUGGAGGCCACAGCGGCCUCAGGCCCUGAACUUUGUAUUUCUUAGCCCGCCAGGAUUGCUGGCUGCUGGGUGUCAUGUAACUCCCAAAAAUGUGAAGGGAAAACCAAAGAGCCUGAGAAGCGCAGACGUCUCCUGGCUGGGGAGUCCGUCUAGAAAGUCGCCUUUCAUGGUGAGGCCAGGUGCACGCGAGAGUGGCUGGAGAAGGUGGGGUGAGCCCAGAACAGGGAGGCCCGGCCCACUCCCAGGCUGAAACUCCGAGAAACUCCCCCUGCACAAGGCCACGCCAAUGAAGUCCCCUUCCUUCUGGAAAGGGUCCUACACAAAUUGCUAGGGUUUCCAGUGUGAUAUUUGACGAGUGGGGCGUCCAGCUGUGCUGUUGGCUUGUCUCUCUAAGAGGGGAAGUGCUGAGGGCCUGUCCCCCACCACCACCCCGAGUCCUUCCCUAGUGAGAGUUCCCUGGCUUGGGAGCACGCAGGAGAUGCUCGGCUUCAGAGGGGCCUUGCUUGAGCGUGGUGAGGAAGUCCCGGGGCUGUGAAAGAGGAAAUGCUGGACUCUCCCUGCCUAAGGGCCUGACCUAGAAUGGGGCUUUAACCUCCCUGGAGGAGGAGAGCAGCUGCAGGUAGCUGGCGGCUGCAGAGUACUCCUGGGCAGGCUGUAGGGCCAUGGGUCAGUAGCUGAAGGAGCCACCUUUCAUGCCCUCCCCUCACCAUCACAGUUCCCGGGCAUGAAACUCAGGCAUCAGCACCUCAGCCCAGGCCCUCAAGGAGUGGGGUUAAGUGAGCAUGAACAGAGCAGGCCCCCUUUGCCUCUGGGAGCCUCCUGGCUUCCCAACAGGUGCUAUCGCUGAAUGAAGAGGAGGGCUGUCCACAGCAGUUUCCCCAGCCAAGGCUCUGGGCUCCAGCCCUGCUGGUCCCUCUUCCUCUGUCACCCAUCAGCUCUGCAGCCGGCC